UACGUAGGUGGCGAGCGUUGUCCGGAUUUACUGGGCGUAAAGGGCGUGCAGGCGGUUUGUUAAGUGCAGGGUGAAAGCUCCCGGCUCAACUGGGAGAGGUCCUUGCAUACUGGCGAACUCGAGGGAGGCAGAGGAAAGUGGAAUUCCCGGUGUAGUGGUGAUAUGCGUAGAUAUCGGGAGGAACACCUGUGGCGAAGGCGGCUUUCUGGGCUUUACCUGACGCUGAGACGCGAAAGCGUGGGGAGCGAACCGG
rnacentral:rRNA from 1 species